rnacentral:rRNA from 1 species
GACGAACGCUGGCGGCGUGCUUAACACAUGCAAGUCGAACGGAAGGGCCCUGCUUUUGUGGGGUGCUCGAGUGGCGAACGGGUGAGUAACACGUGAGUAACCUGCCCUUGACUUUGGGAUAACUUCAGGAAACUGGGGCUAAUACCGGAUAGGAGCUCCUGCUGCAUGGUGGGGGUUGGAAAGUUUCGGCGGUUGGGGACGGACUCGCGGCUUAUCAGCUUGUUGGUGGGGUAGUGGCUUACCAAGGCUUUGACGGGUAGCCGGCCUGAGAGGGUGACCGGCCACAUUGGGACUGAGAUACGGCCCAGACUCCUACGGGAGGCAGCAGUGGGGAAUAUUGCACAAUGGGCGGAAGCCUGAUGCAGCAACGCCGCGUGCGGGAUGACGGCCUUCGGGUUGUAAACCGCUUUCGCCUGUGACGAAGCGUGAGUGACGGUAAUGGGUAAAGAAGCACCGGCUAACUACGUG